rnacentral:rRNA from 1 species
GGCAGCAGUGGGGAAUAUUGGACAAUGGGCGAAAGCCUGAUCCAGCCAUGCCGCGUGUGUGAAGAAGGUCUUCGGAUUGUAAAGCACUUUAAGUUGGGAGGAAGGGCAGUUACUUAAUACGUGACUGUCUUGACGUUACCGACAGAAUAAGCACCGGCUAACUCUGUGCCAGCAGCCGCGGUAAUACAGAGGGUGCAAGCGUUAAUCGGAAUUACUGGGCGUAAAGCGCGCGUAGGUGGUUCGUUAAGUUGGAUGUGAAAUCCCCGGGCUCAACCUGGGAACUGCAUUCAAAACUGUCGAGCUAGAGUAUGGUAGAGGGUGGUGGAAUUUCCUGUGUAGCGGUGAAAUGCGUAGAUAUAGGAAGGAACACCAGUGGCGAAGGCGACCACCUGGACUGAUACUGACACUGAGGUGCGAAAGCGUGGGGAGCAAACAGGAUUAGAUACCCCUGGUAGAGA